rnacentral:rRNA from 1 species
GAAUGAACAGGGAUGAGCUCAGGCUGGAAACCGAUACAUCUGUGUCGGGCUGUAGCCUGCAGGCAUAGCGCUAUCGGCGGCUCGAGCGCAAGCCUCUUGGAAUAGAGCGUGUGCCCGGGUGAGAAUCCUGCAUUUCGCUCGAUGUCCGCUGUCCACAGUGCUUGUUCUGAGAGUCACGCUCCUCGGAAUUGGAGCGUAAAUCAGGUGGUAAGUUUCAUCCAAAGCUAAAUAGAAGCUCGAGACCAAUAGCAAACAAGUACCAUGAGGGAAAGAUGAAAAGGACUUUGGAAAGAGAGUUAAAAGUGUUUGAAAUUGCUGAGAGCGAAGCGAACGGAGCCACAUGUUGUGCUGAGAUUGCUGUGGGUCUUUGUGAGCCUUGAGCAUGUAAGCGCAAGCUGACUGCUUAUGCGUGAGCAUUUGCCCGCAGUGUUUCUCAGCAUGCGAGUCAUUAGCCACAUUUGUUUCAGGAUGUCCUUCAGCUCACAUGGUACA